rnacentral:rRNA from 1 species
UGGGGAAUAUUGCACAAUGGGCGCAAGCCUGAUGCAGCCAUGCCGCGUGUAUGAAGAAGGCCUUCGGGUUGUAAAGUACUUUCAGCGGGGAGGAAGGUGUUGAGGCUAAUAACCUCAGCAAUUGACGUUACCCGCAGAAGAAGCACCGGCUAACUCCGUGCCAGCAGCCGCGGUAAUACGGAGGGUGCAAGCGUUAAUCGGAAUUACUGGGCGUAAAGCGCACGCAGGCGGUUUGUCAAGUCGGAUGUGAAAUCCCCGGGCUCAACCUGGGAACUGCAUUCGAAACUGGCAGGCUAGAGUCUUGUAGAGGGGGGUAGAAUUCCAGGUGUAGCGGUGAAAUGCGUAGAGAUCUGGAGGAAUACCGGUGGCGAAGGCGGUCCCCUGGACAAAGACUGACGCUCAGGUGCGAAAGCGUGGGGAGCAAACA